rnacentral:rRNA from 1 species
AGACCCGAAACCCGGUGAUCUAGCCAUGGGCAGGUUGAAGGUUGGGUAACACUAACUGGAGGACCGAACCGACUAAUGUUGAAAAAUUAGCGGAUGACCUGUGGCUGGGGGUGAAAGGCCAAUCAAACCGGGAGAUAGCUGGUUCUCCCCGAAAGCUAUUUAGGUAGCGCCUCGUGAAUUCAUCUCCGGGGGUAGAGCACUGUUUCGGCUAGGGGGCCAUCCCGGCUUACCAACCCGAUGCAAACUGCGAAUACCGGAGAAUGUUAUCACGGGAGACACACGGCGGGUGCUAACGUCCGUCGUGAAGAGGGAAACAACCCAGACCGCCAGCUAAGGUCCCAAAGUCAUGGUUAAGUGGGAAACGAUGUGGGAAGGCCCAGACAGCCAGGAUGUUGGCUUAGAAGCAGCCAUCAUUUAAAGAAAGCGUAAUAGCUCACUGGUCGAGUCGGCCUGCGCGGAAGAUGUAACGGGGCUAAACCAUGCACCGAAGCUGCGGCAGCGAACGUAUCACCCAAGACAACUUUACGGAGUUGACGAUUGACGGAGCGAAGCGACGUCAAAGCGUUCAUUAAAGUCGAGUUGGCUUAGGGAUACGUUCGUUGGGUAGGGGAGCGUUCUGUAAGCCUGUGAAGGUGUGUCGUGAGGCAUGCUGGAGGUAUCAGAAGUGCGAAUGCUGACAUAAGUAACGAUAAAGCGGGUGAAAAGCCCGCUCGCCGGAAGACCAAGGGUUCCUGUCCAACGUUAAUCGGGGCAGGGUGAGUCGACCCCUAAGGCGAGGCCGAA